CUGAAUGGAGUUGAUUUCUGCUCCUUUUUCAAUAAGGAGUAUGAUAUUCCAGCAACGUGCUAGAGUGACUGAGGAUAAUAGGGCCGUUAGCCUCAAAAGAACAGGCUGAACGGUAGUAUAAGUCUGCAACAAGA